rnacentral:lncRNA from 7 species
GUGGGAAUGGACUGACAGUGAGGAAGUGCGCUCGCCGCGGUGGUAGGUCGGUACCCCUAUGUACGGUCCACGGUGUACGCCGGUGUCGUGCCCCAAUAUCCUAAACUAGGGGAUUCGCGACGUCUUUAGGAUAGUGCUCAUGACCUUCUCGGGCAGGAAUAACCUCCAGGGCGACCGGAAUUCCUCAACGAUGUGUGAACACUGCUGUGGUUCCGCCCUGCGUGGUGGGUGGGAGUCCCUGCGGCAUAAUCACUGCAGUGAGGACACGUGUCA